rnacentral:rRNA from 1 species
UGGGGAAUAUUGCACAAUGGGCGGAAGCCUGAUGCAGCGACGCCGCGUGGGGGAUGAAGGCCUUCGGGUUGUAAACUCCUUUCGACAGGGACGAAGCUUUUGUGACGGUACCUGUAUAAGAAGCACCGGCUAACUACGUGCCAGCAGCCGCGGUAAUACGUAGGGUGCGAGCGUUGUCCGGAAUUACUGGGCGUAAAGAGCUCGUAGGUGGUUUGUCGCGUCGUCUGUGAAAUUCCGGGGCCUAACUCCGGGCGUGUAGGCGAUACGGGCUGACUUGAGUGCUGUAGGGGAGACUGGAAUUCCUGGUGUAGCGGUGAAAUGCGCAGAUAUCAGGAGGAACACCGAUGGCGAAGGCAGGUCUCUGGGCAGUAACUGACGCUGAGGAGCGAAAGCAUGGGUAGCGAACAGGAUUAGAUACCCUGGUAGUCCAUGCCGUAAACGGUGGGCGCUAGGUGUAGGGGGCUUCCACGUCUUCUGUGCCGUAGCUAACGCAUUAAGCGCCCCGCCUGGGGAGUACGGCCGCAAGGCUA